UGGGGAAUAUUGGACAAUGGGGGCAACCCUGAUCCAGCCAUGCCGCGUGAGUGAUGAAGGCCUUCGGGUUGUAAAGCUCUUUUGGCGGGGACGAUGAUGACGGUACCCGCAGAAUAAGCCCCGGCUAACUUCGUGCCAGCAGCCGCGGUAAGACGAAGGGGGCUAGCGUUGUUCGGAAUUACUGGGCGUAAAGCGCGUGUAGGCGGUUGCCAUAGUCAGGUGUGAAAGCCUUGAGCUUAACUCAAGAAAUGCACUUGAUACUGGGCGACUAGAGGACCGGAGAGGAUAGUGGAAUUCCCAGUGUAGUGGUGAAAUACGUAGAGAUUGGGAAGAACACCAGUGGCGAAGGCGGCUAUCUGGACGGUUACUGACGCUAAGACGCGAAAGCGUGGGGAGCAAACAG
rnacentral:rRNA from 1 species